AUUGAACGCUGGCGGCAGGCCUAACACAUGCAAGUCGAACGAGUGGCGGACGGGUGAGUAAUGUCUGGGAAACUGCCCGAUGGAGGGGGAUAACUACUGGAAACGGUAGCUAAUACCGCAUACCAUCGGAUGUGCCCAGAUGGGAUUAGCUUGUAGGUGAGGUAACGGCUCACCUAGGCGACGAUCCCUAGAUGGUCUGAGAGGAUGACCAGACACACUGGAAAUUAUACCCGGUCCAGACGCCUACGGGAGGCAGCAGUGGGGAAUAUGGCACAAGGGGCGCAAGCCUGAUGCAGCCAUGCCGCGUGUAUGAAGAAGGCCGUCGGGUUGUAAAGUACUUUCAGCGGGGAGGCGUUACCCGCAGAAGAAGCACCGGCUAACUCCGUGCCAGCAGCCGCGGUAAUAC
rnacentral:rRNA from 1 species